rnacentral:rRNA from 1 species
CCUACGGGAGGCAGCAGUGGGGAAUCUUGCGCAAUGGCCUAACGGCUGACGCAGCGACGCCGCGUGUGGGAUGAAGCUCUUCGGAGUGUAAACCACUGUUGCCCGGGACGAACAGCUCGAUUAAUCGAGCCUGACGGUACCGGGUGAGGAAGCACCGGCUAACUCCGUGCCAGCAGCCGCGGUAAUACGGGGGGUGCGAGCGUUGUCCGGAAUCACUGGGCGUAAAGGGCGCGUAGGUGGUUUGAUAAGGGUGUGGUGAAAGUCCGGGGCUCAACCCCGGAUCUGCCGUGCCGACUGUCAAACUCGAGGACUGUAGAGGCAGACGGAAUUCCGGGUGUAGCGGUGGAAUGCGUAGAGAUCCGGAGGAAGACCGGUGGCGAAGGCGGUCUGCUGGGCAGUUACUGACACUGAGGCGCGACAGCGUGGGGAGCAAACAGGAUUAGAUACCCUGGUAGUCCACGCCGUAAACGAUGGGUACUAGGUGCCUGGGGGAGCGACCCUCUGGGUGCCGGCGCUAACGCAGGAAGUACCCCGCCUGGGGAGUACGACCGCAAGGUUGAAACUCAAAGGAAUUGACGG